GAUGAACGCUGGCGGCGUGCCUAAUACAUGCAAGUCGAGCGAACAGAUGAGGAUCUUGCUCCUCUGACGUUAGCGGCGGACGGGUGAGUAACACGUGGAUAACCUACCUAUAAGACUGGGAUAACUUCGGGAAACCGGAGCUAAUACCGGAUAAUAUAUUGAACCGCAUGGUUCAAUAGUGAAAGACGGGUUUGCUGUCGCUUAUAGAUGGAUCCGCGCCGCAUUAGCUAGUUGGUAAGGUAACGGCUUACCAAGGCAACGAUGCGUAGCCGACCUGAGAGGGUGAUAGGCCACAUUGGAACGGAGACACGGUCCAGACUCCUAAGGGAGGCAGCAGUAGGGAAUCUUCCGCAAUGGGCGAAAGCCUGACGGAGCAACGCCGCGUGAGUGAUGAAGGUCUUCGGAUCGUAAAACUCUGUUAUUAGGGAAGAACAAAUGUGUAAGUAACUAUGCACGUCUUGACGGUACCUAAUCAGAAAGCCACGGCUAACUACGUG
rnacentral:rRNA from 1 species